UACGAAGGGGGCUAGCGUUGUUCGGAAUCACUGGGCGUAAAGCGCACGUAGGCGGAUCUUUAAGUCAGGGGUGAAAUCCCGAGGCUCAACCUCGGAACUGCCUUUGAUACUGGGGAUCUCGAGUCCGGGAGAGGUGAGUGGAACUGCGAGUGUAGAGGUGAAAUUCGUAGAUAUUCGCAAGAACACCAGUGGCGAAGGCGGCUCACUGGCCCGGAACUGACGCUGAGGUGCGAAAGCGGUGGGGAGCAAACAGGG
rnacentral:rRNA from 1 species